rnacentral:rRNA from 1 species
GUGUGGACGCCAGUCUGCAUGGAGCCGACCUUGAAAUACCACCCUUUAAUGUUUGAUGUUCUAACGUUGACCCGUAAUCCGGGUUGCGGACAGUGUCUGGUGGGUAGUUUGACUGGGGCGGUCUCCUCCUAAAGAGUAACGGAGGAGCACGAAGGUUGGCUAAUCCUGGUCGGACAUCAGGAGGUUAGUGCAAUGGCAUAAGCCAGCUUGACUGCGAGCGUGACGGCGCGAGCAGGUGCGAAAGCAGGUCAUAGUGAUCCGGUGGUUCUGAAUGGAAGGGCCAUCGCUCAACGGAUAAAAGGUACUCCGGGGAUAACAGGCUGAUACCGCCCAAGAGUUCAUAUCGACGGCGGUGUUUGGCACCUCGAUGUCGGCUCAUCACAUCCUGGGGCUGAAGUAGGUCCCAAGGGUAUGGCUGUUCGCCAUUUAAAGUGGUACGCGAGCUGGGUUUAGAACGUCGUGAGACAGUUCGGUCCCUAUCUGCCGUGGGCGCUGGAGAACUGAGGGGGGCUGCUCCUAGUACGAGAGGACCGGAGUGGACGCAUCACUGGUGUUCGGGUUGUCAUGCCAAUGGCACUGCCCGGUAGCUAAAUGCGGAAGAGAUAAGUGCUGAAAGCAUCUAAGCACGAAACUUGCCCCGAGAUGAGUUCUCCCUGACUCCUUGAGAGUCCUGAAGGAACGUUGAAGACGACGACGUUGAUAGGCCGGGUGUGUAAGCGCAGCGAUGCGUUGAGCUAACCGGUACUAAUGAACCGUGAGG